rnacentral:rRNA from 1 species
CAAAAGCGUAUAUUAAAGUCGUUGCAGUUAAAAAGCUCGUAGUUGAACCUUGGGCUUGGCUGGCCGGUCCAUCUUUUUUGAUGCGUACUGGACCCAGCCGAGCCUUUCCUUCUGGCUAGCCUUUUGGCGAACCAGGACUUUUACUUUGAAAAAAUUAGAGUGUUCAAAGCAGGCCUUUGCUCGAAUAUAUUAGCAUGGAAUAAUAGAAUAGGACGUUAUGGUUCUAUUUUGUUGGUUUCUAGGACCAUCGUAAUGAUUAAUAGGGACGGUCGGGGGUAUCAGUAUUCAGUUGUCAGAGGUGAAAUUCUUGGAUUUACUGAAGACUAACUACUGCGAAAGCAUUUACCAAGGACGUUUUCAUUAA